rnacentral:lncRNA from 1 species
GAUGGUGCCACUUUACAGUGAUAUCACCUUUCCAGAGUACUUGUGAUCUUCAUCACAAGUUUGGUGACUUUUCUUUUCCUUUUACUAACUUUUUUUAUUUGUUCAUAUGUUAGUAUAUUUUUUAUUUAGUUUUUAGUUAACCUUAAUAAUUUUCUUUUUUCUUUAGAAUUUUUUUUCUUUUAAUUUUCUUUUGUUUUCUUUGUUUUUAAUUCACAAAUUGC